UGAAUUGAGCGAGUGCACGCCUCUUCUCUAAGUUGGGCACUUCGGCGUUCAGUUCACGAGAACUUCUCUGGGAACAAGAGAGGCCUAAAAGGAGCACUCCGGCUUCUCCACUCUCAAAGCUCCAGGCCCCUAGUGACGCUCUGGGAUAGCCAUGCAUAUCAAUUGGUGUCCCUGAUUGCUCUCUCCCCUGGCCACGCGCGAGCACCACCCGCUUCCCCUGGGAUCUGUCCUGGUUUUACUUUUAUUCCGCUACGCAAAGGGCUUCUCUGCGGGUGGGUUUAGCUUGAAACCGAGCCUCGCUGUUCUUCAAGGAGAGCAUGUGGGAAGGGCACGAACACCUUUGGGGAAAGGGAGGGCUUCUACCUUGACUUUUACCUGUGAGACCCCAGAGGCCGGGGCGGCGGACCAGGCGGCAGGUCCGACGCCCCUUGGCGCUCGCAGCAGGGCACGUGCGCUGAGGCUCAGGUCGAGCCAGUGGGUGGCCGCGCGCGCAGCCCGCGCGUCUUCUGCGUGCCUGCGCCCGCCCAGGAGGUAGACACGCGGUGACACCUCGACCUCGCUGUGGGCGCACGCUUGGUGUGGGUGUUCAGGCCUCUCUCGUGAGGACACGGAGGAAAAGUUGCCCUCCCCGCUUCUGAGAUCUCUUAGUGACGCUGGAUUGGGUAUGUGACUUUGGCCAGUGGGAUAUAAGUGAAUGUGGUGCAGUUAGAGCUUAAUAUCUUCUUGGAAUGCUGCUUUCAACCAUGUGAAGAAGCCUGGUCCUACCUCCUUAAAGAAAGACGCACAGAUAAAUCUCACUAGCAAGCCAAGGUGAGCUCUGUCUCCUGGUGACUGUCCUACCAGGUGAAUGCAACUGCAGGAGUGAAUCCAUGCUACAUCAGCAGAAGAACCGCACAGAUAACUCACAGAAAUGUGAGAAAUAAUAAAUUGUUUGUAAGCCUCUCAGUUUUGUUUUACGCAAUAGGUAAAGGGUACAGGAAUUUAUACACAGGAGCUUAACUUUUGUCUUCUAUUAUAGCAGUCACUGUGAACAUUUCUGCAGUACUUACUGUCUACAAAACACUAUAUGGUUGCAGAAGAUUUAGUAAUAAUUAUUCAUAGCUUUAAUUGUGGAAAACGAGAUUUCUUUUGUUUGCCUGGUAGGAGAAUAAGUCUCCAAGUGAGAGGAGCAUUCAUAGUGAUCCAAGUUUAUACGGAUUUGCAGUGGGAGAGGCUUAGGACUAUUCACUGGCUCAUCUGGACGACAUCUUUAAGGGAGCAACUCAUCUUAGCAGCUGAGAGAUUUGGAGUUUGCAGACUGUUCCCAGGGUCACACGAUGUCACGGGAAAAUAGGUAUUCAUUAAAAUAGAAGUUGGGAACUGUUCAGAUAAACUGCUGUUAACUUCUCACUGCAAAAUUUGUUCCAGAAUCCCAGGAAGGAAGCUAGGAACUAAAGAGCUAGUACAUUAAGAUCAGUGUUUGUAAAACUGUAUGGACAUAACGAUACAGAUAUACUUUGUGACAGAAUAGAGCCAGAUGGGAAAGGGGGAGACUGUUUCCCAUUCCAAUAAAGGUGGCUUUUGAAUUAAGCUUGAAUACAAAACUGAGAAGUGAUUAUAGAAGGGAAGUAUCAGGUACUAUAGUGGUGCAUAUAAGUGACCUAGGUAGUUAGGCUGCUACUACCAGCAAAAGUAUAGGAUCUUAGGAGCAAGAAUGUGGUCCCUCUCAUUACUAACUAUUGCUUCCUUUUAUUGUUAGAAUGUAUUCCACAUGGACUGAGGGGACAAAUGGUUAUUUGUAGGAGAAGAAGAAUGAAGUUCUAGUGGAAUUUGGUGAAAUAUGUACCCCAAACAAAACAGCAACAAAAACACCCAUUGGGAAACCUCCGAAGACUUCCCUUUGCUGGGGGGACAGUUGGAGGAGGUGGAGUACUUAUGGGUCCAUGCAGAUUCAGCCAUUGUGCCCUACCCUGAUAUAGCCUGUGGGGAGAUGAAUUACCUGUGCAUAUAUUCAGCUCAUUCUACUUGUGUUGUUUUCAGAAAGUGAUGGAAAGGAAACAGUACAAAAAUUCAGAGCCUUAGUUAUAUUGGAUAAUUUGGGGGUAUUGAUUGAUCAUCUGAGAUCAAAUCAUGAAUGGAGUAAAAAUUAUGGAGCUAUGACAGUAACUUCUGGAAGACCCAGAAUGAACACUUCAGAAGAUAAAAUUGUUUCCAGAUACCUGAGUUAUCUAGUGCCUUAUAAAGGUGAUUGAUGUUGUUCAAAGAACUGAUCAAAUUGAUGGAGUGGGAAAAAAUCAGGAAAUAAAAAAGGCUCUAUGUGAAAUCAAAUGCUCACAUUUCCAAGACCAUGGGAAAAAAUUGCCAGAUUAUUGAAAGGAAACAGAAUUCCUGUAUUUUUAUUAGAAAUUAGCUAUACUUGGUAAAAAAUUCCCAUAUGUUUAAAGCAGUGAGAUUUAACAGCACAGUUAUUUCUUUUUGGGUACAUCAUUUGACUAAAUCUAAGAAAGUUACAAAUUUUCAAGACAUUUCUAAGAGGAAGACCAUGAGAGAACAGUGAAGCCAUGUUACAUUAAUGUGAAUUUUCAUAUAUGUCCUGUGUGAUUCCAUAAAGGAUUUCAGAAAACACCCCAGUGAAGUAAUGAUGAGGUGGAAAAGAAAAUCAAAUCGAAGGAAAAUGUGAUUUAAUAUAGAAAGUCAAAUUUAGGAAAAAUGUCUGUCAAAAUGAAAGAUAUAGAGAAUGAUAGUUAAACUUGCAGUGUGCUUUGGAGAUUUCUGGCAUUUAAAGUGAAAUUUAAUUAGUUAUAGAAUGUCCAUUUUGAAAAAGAAAGAAUAACAGUCUUUAGGAAAGAGAAUGCCAUUCUUUGGACUAAAUUCUGUAGGAGAUAUCUCAUUAUUGGCAAAUAUCUCCACCUGGGAGUAGUGAGUGAUGUACAAGACCAUAUCUUUGACCAUGUUCCAGCAACAGAUUUUCUGAAGUAUCUUUCAUGUCUAUUUCUGUAGAACCCAAAGAUAUACCAUCCAAUCAUAACUCUGUGAGCUUAAGUACAAGAGAAACUAAAUAUUCUUUCAUUGUUACAUUCUACCUUUUUGACUUUAUUCAGUUCUACAUCUUCAGUUAAAUUGUGUGAAACAACAAUUUCAAUUUUAUGUUUUUAAUCCCCAGCUUAUUCAUUUUACCACAGAUAAAUGCUUCCAGUAGUGUUGUCUUCCUGGAUAUUUUUUCUUCAAUAUGUUUCUUGGUUGGAAUAUAAAAUAUUACUUUCUUUCAAGAAGAUUAAAUUGUGUUUUUCUGACUUUGCCUUUCCUUAAGGUUAUUGAUAUCCAGCUCCCAGAAUGACCUAAUAGUGAUAGUUGAUGGGCUAGUGUCGGUUUGAAACUAUUCAAGUUAUAUCACUGUAAAAUUUUACUUUCUAUUAAGGAAAUUGGCAAUUAGAUAAAACGACUGAAAUCAUGGAAAAA